ACGGAAGGCAGCAGUGGGGAAUAUUGCACAAUGGGGGAAACCCUGAUGCAGCGACGCCGCGUGAGUGAAGAAGUAUUUCGGUAUGUAAAGCUCUAUCAGCAGGGAAGAAAAUGACGGUACCUGACUAAGAAGCCCCGGCUAACUACGUGCCAGCAGCCGCGGUAAUACGUAGGGGGCAAGCGUUAUCCGGAUUUACUGGGUGUAAAGGGAGCGCAGACGGCAAAGCAAGUCUGAAGUGAAAGCCCGGGGCUCAACCCCGGGACUGCUUUGGAAACUGUUUAGCUAGAGUACUGGAGAGGUAAGCGGAAUUCCUAGUGUAGCGGUGAAAUGCGUAGAUAUUAGGAAGAACACCAGUGGCGAAGGCGGCUUGCUGGACAGCAACUGACGUUGAGGCUCGAAAGCGUGGGGAGCAAACAGGAUUAGAUACCCUGGUA
rnacentral:rRNA from 1 species